UACGAAGGUGGCAAGCGUUGUUCGGAUUUACUGGGCGUACAGGGAGCGUAGGCGGUUGGAUAAGCCCUCCGUGAAAUCUCCAGGCUUAACCUGGAAAGUGCAGAGGGGACUGUUCAGCUAGAGGAUGGAGAGGAGCGCGGAAUUCCCGGUGUAGCGGUGAAAUGCGUAGAGAUCGGGAGGAAGGCCGGUGGCGAAGGCGGCGCUCUGGAACAUUUCUGACGCUGAGGCUCGAAAGCGUGGGGAGCAAACAGG
rnacentral:rRNA from 1 species